CCUACGGGAGGCAGCAGUGAGGAAUAUUGGUCAAUGGACGCAAGUCUGAACCAGCCAUGCCGCGUGCAGGAAGACGGCUCUAUGAGUUGUAAACUGCUUUUGUACGAGGAUAAACGCAGAUACGCGUAUCUGUCUGCAAGUAUCGUACGAAUAAGGAUCGGCUAACUCCGUGCCAGCAGCCGCGGUAAUACGGAGGAUUCGAGCGUUAUCCGGAUUUAUUGGGUUUAAAGGGUGCGUAGGCGGUCUGAUAAGUGAGAGGUGAAAUCCCGAGGCUCAACUUCGGAAUUGCCUCUGAUACUGUUCGGCUAGAGAGUAGGUGCGGUAGGCGGAAUGUAUGGUGUAGCGGUGAAAUGCUUAGAGAUCAUACAGAACACCGAUUGCGAAGGCAGCUUACCAAGUUACCUCUGACGUUGAGGCACGAAAGCGUGGGGAGCAAACAGGAUUAGAUACCCCGGUAGUC
rnacentral:rRNA from 1 species